rnacentral:rRNA from 1 species
GAUGAACGCUAGCUACAGGCUUAACACAUGCAAGUCGAGGGGAAACGAUAUUGGAAGCUUGCUCCCGAUAGGCGUCGACCGGCGCACGGGUGAGUAACGCGUAUCCAACCUGCCCACCACUUGGGGAUAACCUUGCGAAAGUAAGACUAAUACCCAAUGAUAUCCAUAGAAGACAUCUGAAAUGGAUUAAAGAUUUAUCGGUGAUGGAUGGGGAUGCGUCUGAUUAGCUUGUUGGCGGGGUAACGGCCCACCAAGGCGACGAUCAGUAGGGGUUCUGGGAGGAAGGUCCCCCACAUUGGAACUGAGACACGGUCCAAACUCCUACGGGAGGCAGCAGUGAGGAAUAUUGGUCAAUGGGCGAGAGCCUGAACCAGCCAAGUAGCGUGCAGGAUGACGGCCCUAUGGGUUGUAAACUGCUUUUAUAAGGGAAUAAAGUGGGAGUCGUGACUCCUUUUGCAUGUACCUUAUGAAUAAGGACCGGCUAAUUCCGUGCCAGCCGCCGCAGUAA